GUGAGGAAUAUUGCGCAAUGGAGGCAACUCUGACGCAGCCAUGCCGCGUGCAGGAAGAAGGCGCUACGCGUUGUAAACUGCUUUUAACCGGGAAGAAACCCCAGGACGUGUCCUGGGUUGACGGUACCGGAGGAAUAAGCACCGGCUAACUUCGUGCCAGCAGCCGCGGUAAUACGAAGGGUGCAAGCGUUAUCCGGAUUCAUUGGGUUUAAAGGGUGCGUAGGCGGAGCGUUAAGUCAGUGGUGAAAUCCUGCAGCUUAACUGUAGAUUUGCCAUUGAUACUGGCGCUCUUGAGUGCGCUUGAAGUGGGCGGAAUGUGCCGUGUAGCGGUGAAAUGCUUAGAUAUGGCACAGAACACCAAUUGCGAAGGCAGCUCACUAAGGCGAUACUGACGCUGAGGCACGAAAGCGUGGGGAUCGAACAGGAUUAGAUACCCGGGUAGUCC
rnacentral:rRNA from 1 species